CCGGUUCCGGAAACAGCCUGCACAAGGGCUGGGGUUGUGGGGCAUCUGUGUGCACACAACCCAUGAAAGGGCCAGGUCUGCCACUGCCAUGAUGCUGAAUUCCUGAGGUGUAUAACGUAUAACAUCAAAGUAAGCAAACAUCAAAUUGGGGUGAGAUGCAGGUAACGUUGGGAUCCUAAAGAAGCAACAUUCCUAGAAAUGUAUUAUGUGUUCCCAGUAAUCAAUUGGCAGCAGUUCCGUUACACAGCAGAGUCAAUCUAGUAUCUUUCAGCAACACUAAAUUGUCUUUAAAUAUAUUUAUUAGCUGUAAACCAUUGAUACAUAAUGAACAGUGCUACAGAAAUCAGUAAUGAUUAAUAAGGAAUGUUGUCUAAAAGAGUGCAAUGCAAAACUGUUGAAGGGAGCAUUUGGAGCAAACAUUUCUGGUUUCCAUCUAAGAGUGUGUGCAUUUAAGUCAUUAAAUACAGAGAGCGGUCAUAAAACCUUGCUGAGUAAUGUCACACAACAGGAACACACAGCUGGGGUCAUUUCCUCCAACAGCUUAAUCAUUAAUUCCCCCAAAUCCCAGAUUCCUUAUGUAAUUAAAAACACCAUUUAAAUGAAACCAGUAUUUAUUAGACAUUGGGCUUUCAUCUUCAUCAAUUGCAUUCAGUCUGACUGAGAUACAGUACACUGUUUCCCAAAAUAUAACAGCAUCAAAUAGAUACUCUUCUGGUUAUGGAUAGGGGUGGACAAACGAGUUAGUUUAAAUAUAACAAUCAACCUCCACCUUUUCCUAACUCCCAAAACAAAUAUCCUUUCAAAGUUAGAAACUGUUUAGUUAAGAAUGCACCUCCUCUGAGAGGCAAUAGGAAACUCUGCUGUGACCAAACAUCUACACAAACCUUCAAUAGGAUCCUACUGGACUCCCAGAUACUUCCUCAGCUCUCCAUUUCUGUGAAUCAGUUACUCUCAUACAUCCCCAUGCCUGCCUAGAGAGAGACUCAAGCCUCUUUGCUGCCCCAAAACUUCACAGCUCUUAACUCUGACCUUUCCUCCAAAGAUCAUCAGAAAUAUGGGACAUGGGGAUCAGUCACAGAGUACAACAGAGCUGGGCUUUUUCAUUUAAGCAUUCAAACUCUUGCUCUCAAACCAGACUUUCUGGUAUUUGAAUUUUGGCCAACACUGUGUAAAAUAGUGUUUUAAUUCAAAGCCCCCAAGAUAUACAUUUGUCUCAGAAUCUGUACAGAUCAUUUAAUGAAAGAUUCCAUAGCGAUGUAUACAUAUCAGGGAGCAGAGAGAAGGAUACUGUGAUACUGACUUGUCUGGGUUUAAAUUCUCAAACAUGCCAUUAUAGUAUCAUAUUUUUGCAUUCAGCUAUAUAACAAGUUUAAUCUUAGAGUAAGAUCUGACUCUCUGCUCAUCUCACUUUGUUAGUCAAGAUCAGUGUUACAUAGGAAUUGGCCAAGUGGAUCUGAUCAGUGAAUCUAAUCUACUAUCUUGUCACUCAAAGCAACUAUUAGUAGGUGCUUCAGAGGAAGGUGCAAAAAACCCUGCAAUAGGUUGUUAUGGGAUAGCCUGUCUCCAGGAAAUUUUUCCUCCUAAUCCUAUUAAAGUUACCUCAUUAAACCACAUCAUCACCUGACCCUGCCGCUGGCUAAGUCCCUAAUUUCCCUCGUGCUGGGAAGGAUGCUGCCGCUAUUAUAGGGAAAAGAGGUCUUGGGACAGAUACCAAUGCUCCCCAUGGCACUGAGCCCAAUGCUGAGGCAUGAAUAAACUUGUCUUCAAGAUCACUGUUCUGUAGGGGAAGAUCACACAUUCUUCCAAUUCUGCAUCUUCCUAUUUUCCUACCAAUGACAAGUGGUAGAGGACAAAACUGGAGGUCCUCCUGAUUUCCCCCACAAAACUAAAUGGGCAGCCACAUUUCUGUGAUCUUUAUGCCUGGUCUGAAUGCCAAACGUGGCAAGGAGUCACUGAUCUUCUCUAACACUACCACUGAGCAGCGGUGGCAACCUUUUCUUGUUGCCAGUCGAGAGGCUUCUCCAAUGUGUAGUCCAGAAAGAAUGGGGCAUCGUCUUCUAGAUUAUCCUCUUCCAGUGUAUUGAAAGAAUUUAAGGCUCUCAGGCCAGAUUUUUUAAAAGGUAUGUAAGCAGCCAGUGAGAUUUUCAAAAGCACUAAGGCACUUAAUACUAUUGCCUUCAAUGGGUGUUCGGCACCAAGAUGAUUUUGAAAAUCCCACUAGGUGCCUAAAUACCUUUACAAAUCUGGCCCCUUAUUUAAUGAGGAUGAUCCUAGAAGAAAAUAUCCCUUAAAGCAGUGGCGUAGCCAGGAUCUAAGAGCAGGGAGAGCAAACAUAAAAAAGGCACCCCCACCUUGGCUCCUCCUCUGGCCACGCCCCCCUUGGCUCCUCCUCCGGCCGCACCGCCCCCCCCCCAUUGGCUGCCAGCCAAGCUGUGCAGGCCGCCCUGCUGCGCCCCCCACCCCACCCCACUCCUCCAGCCGCGGCUGCUGGCCGUGCAGUGCAGGCCGCACUGCUGCAGGGAGCACGGCUUGGGGGGCCGGGGACGGCUCUCCUAGGCAGGGUGGCAGGGGGUUCCACGGCAGGCCGGGUCCAGCAGGGCUCGCUUGCAGAGAUGCCGGGGCUUGCCCCGAGCGGGGCUGUUCUCCCGUCCACUGGGCAGGCUGGGAGCCCGGAGCCAAGCCCGCGGUCACGCUCCCUCCCGCUGGCGCCCAGCACCAUGGCCGCACGUCCCCCCAAACUUUGCCUCGGGCUGGGCACAGAGGCGCAGCUGGUUCCCAGCCCGCCGCCCGCGCCCUGAGUCCCACGACCCCGCCGCGCCUGGUCCUUUUAUUCAGAGGGCCAUCUCAAAACGUGGCCCCUGCAUCCACUACACUUCUCUCAAUUCCAGUAUGGAACAGUGGAAGUUACAGGCACAUUCCUACUGAAUUCAGGUGUGGACUGAACUGGACCUAUGCUUAAGAUGUACCAGCUGAAAAAUCAGAUAACAACCAGAUCAAUGAAUCAAUAGAUGGUAUUUUCUUCUUGUACCUACUCUGCAUUAAGCAUAAGAGAAACCUGCCUUGCAGUGAGCGGAGUUCACCAAAGGUUGUGAUAAUGAACACACAAAUAUGAAAUACAGAGCACCUAGGAAUUCUCAGAGGUUUUGUUCCAUUUCACCAUUUUUAUUGUUGUGUGUGUGUUGUGAGCAUGUGCAAUUAAAAGAACAUUUACAAUG